UGCACGGUGGUGUAGUGGUUAGCACUUUGGCCUCACAGCAAAAAGGUCCUGGGUUCGAUAUCCGGUUCAA
rnacentral:tRNA from 14 species